GGUUAAGCGACUAAGCGUACACGGUGGAUGCCCUGGCAGUCAGAGGCGAUGAAGGACGUGCUAAUCUGCGAUAAGCGUCGGUAAGGUGAUAUGAACCGUUAUAACCGGCGAUUUCCGAAUGGGGAAACCCAGUGUGAUUCGUCACACUAUCAUUAACUGAAUCCAUAGGUUAAUGAGGCGAACCGGGGGAACUGAAACAUCUAAGUACCCCGAGGAAAAGAAAUCAACCGAGAUUCCCCCAGUAGCGGCGAGCGAACGGGGAGGAGCCCAGAGCCUGAAUCAGUGUGUGUGUUAGUGGAAGCGUCUGGAAAGGCGCGCGAUACAGGGUGACAGCCCCGUACACAAAAAUGCACAUGCUGUGAGCUCGAUGAGUAGGGCGGGACACGUGGUAUCCUGUCUGAAUAUGGGGGGACCAUCCUCCAAGGCUAAAUACUCCUGACUGACCGAUAGUGAACCAGUACCGUGAGGGAAAGGCGAAAAGAACCCCGGCGAGGGGAGUGAAAAAGAACCUGAAACCGUGUACGUACAAGCAGUGGGAGCACAGAGCAAUCUGUGUGACUGCGUACCUUUUGUAUAAUGGGUCAGCGACUUAUAUUCUGUAGCAAGGUUAACCGAAUAGGGGAGCCGAAGGGAAACCGAGUCUUAACUGGGCGUUAAGUUGCAGGGUAUAGACCCGAAACCCGGUGAUCUAGCCAUGGGCAGGUUGAAGGUUGGGUAACACUAACUGGAGGACCGAACCGACUAAUGUUGAAAAAUUAGCGGAUGACUUGUGGCUGGGGGUGAAAGGCCAAUCAAACCGGGAGAUAGCUGGUUCUCCCCGAAAGCUAUUUAGGUAGCGCCUCGUGAAUUCAUCUCCGGGGGUAGAGCACUGUUUCGGCAAGGGGGUCAUCCCGACUUACCAACCCGAUGCAAACUGCGAAUACCGGAGAAUGUUAUCACGGGAGACACACGGCGGGUGCUAACGUCCGUCGUGAAGAGGGAAACAACCCAGACCGCCAGCUAAGGUCCCAAAGUCAUGGUUAAGUGGGAAACGAUGUGGGAAGGCCCAGACAGCCAGGAUGUUGGCUUAGAAGCAGCCAUCAUUUAAAGAAAGCGUAAUAGCUCACUGGUCGAGUCGGCCUGCGCGGAAGAUGUAACGGGGCUAAACCAUGCACCGAAGCUGCGGCAGCGACGCUUAUGCGUUGUUGGGUAGGGGAGCGUUCUGUAAGCCUGUGAAGGUGUACUGUGAGGUACGCUGGAGGUAUCAGAAGUGCGAAUGCUGACAUAAGUAACGAUAAAGCGGGUGAAAAGCCCGCUCGCCGGAAGACCAAGGGUUCCUGUCCAACGUUAAUCGGGGCAGGGUGAGUCGACCCCUAAGGCGAGGCCGAAAGGCGUAGUCGAUGGGAAACAGGUUAAUAUUCCUGUACUUGGUGUUACUGCGAAGGGGGGACGGAGAAGGCUAUGUUGGCCGGGCGACGGUUGUCCCGGUUUAAGCGUGUAGGCUGGUUUUCCAGGCAAAUCCGGAAAAUCAAGGCUGAGGCGUGAUGACGAGGCACUACGGUGCUGAAGCAACAAAUGCCCUGCUUCCAGGAAAAGCCUCUAAGCAUCAGGUAACAUCAAAUCGUACCCCAAACCGACACAGGUGGUCAGGUAGAGAAUACCAAGGCGCUUGAGAGAACUCGGGUGAAGGAACUAGGCAAAAUGGUGCCGUAACUUCGGGAGAAGGCACGCUGAUAUGUAGGUGAAGUCCCUCGCGGAUGGAGCUGAAAUCAGUCGAAGAUACCAGCUGGCUGCAACUGUUUAUUAAAAACACAGCACUGUGCAAACACGAAAGUGGACGUAUACGGUGUGACGCCUGCCCGGUGCCGGAAGGUUAAUUGAUGGGGUUAGCGCAAGCGAAGCUCUUGAUCGAAGCCCCGGUAAACGGCGGCCGUAACUAUAACGGUCCUAAGGUAGCGAAAUUCCUUGUCGGGUAAGUUCCGACCUGCACGAAUGGCGUAAUGAUGGCCAGGCUGUCUCCACCCGAGACUCAGUGAAAUUGAACUCGCUGUGAAGAUGCAGUGUACCCGCGGCAAGACGGAAAGACCCCGUGAACCUUUACUAUAGCUUGACACUGAACAUUGAGCCUUGAUGUGUAGGAUAGGUGGGAGGCUUUGAAGUGUGGACGCCAGUCUGCAUGGAGCCGACCUUGAAAUACCACCCUUUAAUGUUUGAUGUUCUAACGUUGACCCGUAAUCCGGGUUGCGGACAGUGUCUGGUGGGUAGUUUGACUGGGGCGGUCUCCUCCUAAAGAGUAACGGAGGAGCACGAAGGUUGGCUAAUCCUGGUCGGACAUCAGGAGGUUAGUGCAAUGGCAUAAGCCAGCUUGACUGCGAGCGUGACGGCGCGAGCAGGUGCGAAAGCAGGUCAUAGUGAUCCGGUGGUUCUGAAUGGAAGGGCCAUCGCUCAACGGAUAAAAGGUACUCCGGGGAUAACAGGCUGAUACCGCCCAAGAGUUCAUAUCGACGGCGGUGUUUGGCACCUCGAUGUCGGCUCAUCACAUCCUGGGGCUGAAGUAGGUCCCAAGGGUAUGGCUGUUCGCCAUUUAAAGUGGUACGCGAGCUGGGUUUAGAACGUCGUGAGACAGUUCGGUCCCUAUCUGCCGUGGGCGCUGGAGAACUGAGGGGGGCUGCUCCUAGUACGAGAGGACCGGAGUGGACGCAUCACUGGUGUUCGGGUUGUCAUGCCAAUGGCACUGCCCGGUAGCUAAAUGCGGAAGAGAUAAGUGCUGAAAGCAUCUAAGCACGAAACUUGCCCCGAGAUGAGUUCUCCCUGACUCCUUGAGAGUCCUGAAGGAACGUUGAAGACGACGACGUUGAUAGGCCGGGUGUGUAAGCGCAGCGAUGCGUUGAGCUAACCGGUACUAAUGAACCGUGAGGCUUAACCUU
rnacentral:rRNA from 1 species